rnacentral:tRNA from 1 species
CUCAGCGUAGGCAAGUGGUAUGUCGUUCCGUUUGGGACGGAAUUUUCGGGUGUUCGAUUCACCCCGCUGAGACCA